GCGGCCGCGGUGGAGCUUUACCGCGGGCGCCCCAGAACCCCCGAAGCGCGUCCCCGCGCAGGCCGUGGGCGCGCACGGCCGCUGCCGCCGUUUGUUCUGGUUGAGGCUGCGAGUGCCUGGGCCUGUGACUCCCGGCUCUCCGCGCGCAGCAUGCCCUGGACAUCAUUCCGAAUAGCACAAUUCAAGGGUGGCUGAAACAACAAAAAUGUAACGUCUUACAGAUCUGAAGGCUUCCGGGUCGAUUCUGGACUGUGAUGAGAGCCUGUGCCAUGCCUCUCUCAUGGCUUCUGGUAGACUCGGGCAUUCCUUAGCUUGUAAAUGGCUGCUGCUUGUGUCAUCACAUUGUCUAACCUUUCUACUUAUCUGUCCCCAUGCCCCAAUUUUUCCUUUUCAGGACACCAGUCAGAUUAGGACCCACCCUAAUGAUCUCAUCUUAACUUGAUUAACUACAAGGACCCUAUUUUUAAGUAAGUCCACAUUUACAGAGACUGGGGGGUAGGACUUCAACAUCUUUUUGGAGGGAUGCAGUUCAACCCAUAACAAGAAUCAUUUUUAGAAAUGAUUUUGCUUCUUCACUGAAAAAUUAAUAUCAUUCUGCAGAGAACUGACUUGCUGCACAUGGCACAGAUUUUUUGCAUUUAUCGUAGUAAAAGAAAUCAGUCACAAAAGCUUGUUUUAGACUGCUAUAUACCUAUCCCAAAUACAAAUUAUUUCCAACAUUAAAAGUU